rnacentral:rRNA from 1 species
UGCGGGCUAGGUGUCGGCCCGUUAUUGGGUCGGUGCCGCAGCUAACGCGUUAAGCCCGCCGCCUGGGGAGUACGGUCGCAAGGCUGAAACUCAAGGGAAUUGACGGGGGCCCGCACAAGCGGCGGGGCAUGUGGUUUAAUUCGAUGCUAAGCGAAGAACCUUACCCGGGCUUGACAUGCUGGUGGUACCGACCCGAAAGGGAAGGGACCCAGGGCCUUCGGGCGCCUGGGAGCCAGCACAGGUGCUGCAUGGCUGUCGUCAGCUCGUGUCGUGGGACGUUGGGUUAAGUCCCGGAACGAGCGCAACCCCUGCCGCCAGUUGCCAGCGGACCCUGCGGGGUGCCGGGGACUCUGGCGGGACUGCCGGCGAACAGCCGGAGGAAGGAGGGGAUGACGUCAAGUCAUCAUGGCCCUUAUGCCCGGGGCGACACACAUGCUACAGUGCCCGGUACAAUGGGCCGCGAACCCGCGAGGGGGAGCCAAUCCCAUCAAAGCCGGGCAUGGUUCGGAUUGCAGGCUGCAACCCGCCUGCAUGAAGCCGGAAUCGCUAGUAAUCGCGGGUCAGCCACACCGCGGUGAAUACGUACUCGGGCCUUGUACACACCGCCCGUCACACCAACCGAGUGGGGGGUACCUGAAGUCGUCCGAAGAGGGCGCCGAGGGUAUCCUUCGCGAGGGGGGUGAAGUCGUAACAAGGUAGCCGUACCGGAAGGUGCGGCUG